ACACACACACACACACACACAAAACACGCUGUUAUAUGGCAUUGUAUGGAAACUUCCGGGAGUCCUAGCUCCCAAAAACGCUUGCAUACCCCCCUUUUUUUAAAUCUUAUUUUAAUCUAGGGCCCGAGAUUGACCUAUAACCAAAAUUUCAGGAAAAUCGUAAGAAACGUUUAGUAGUUACGAAAUCGUCCUUUUUCAUAGGAACUAACUAACUAACUAACUAACUAACGUAGGCGAUUUCAGUUAUCUGAAAA